UGGGGAAUAUUGCACAAUGGGGGAAACCCUGAUGCAGCGACGCCGCGUGAGCGAAGAAGGCCUUCGGGUCGUAAAGCUCUUUUAUAUGGGAAGAUAAUGACGGUAUCAUAGGAGGAAGCCCCGGCUAAAUACGUGCCAGCAGCCGCGGUAAUACGUAUGGGGCGAGCGUUGUCCGGAAUUAUUGGGCGUAAAGGGUACGUAGGCGGUCUAUUAAGUCAGGUGUGAAAGCGUGAGGCUUAACCUCAUUAAGCACUUGAAACUGAUAGACUUGAGUGAAGGAGAGGAAAGUGGAAUUCCUAGUGUAGCGGUGAAAUGCGUAGAUAUUAGGAGGAAUACCGGUGGCGAAGGCGACUUUCUGGACUUUUACUGACGCUCAGGUACGAAAGCGUGGGGAGCAAACAGG
rnacentral:rRNA from 1 species